AAAUUCUUAGUAUAAAAAUGUUUAGUAUAUUCAAUUGCAAAUUGAGUGGUAAAGAAUUUU
rnacentral:tRNA from 1 species